GAACAUAUCAAGUUGAAGCACCGCUUCUCGUUCUUUCGCAGAAGUUAAGCAACGUCGACUCUGGUCAGUACCUAGAUGGGUGACCGCUUGGGAAUUCCUGGU